rnacentral:rRNA from 1 species
CCUACGGGUCGCAGCAGUGGGGAAUAUUGCACAAUGGGGGAAACCCUGAUGCAGCGACGCCGCGUGAGUGAAGAAGUAAUUCUUGAUGUAAAACUCUAUCAGCAGGGAAGAAAAUGACGGUACCUGAGUAAUAAGCCCCGACUAACUACGUACCAACAGCCGCGGUAAUACGUAGGGGGCCAGCGUUAUCCGGAUUUGCUGGGUGUAAAUGGAGCGUAGACGGGAGUGCAAGUCUGGAGUUAAAAGGGGGGGCUCAACCCCCGGACUGCUCUGGAAACUGUAGGGCUGGAGUGCAGGAGAGGUAAGUGGAAUUCCUAGUGUAGCGGUGAAAUGCGUAGAUAUCAGGAAGAACCCCAGUGGCGAAGGCGGCUUACUGGAGUGUAACUGACGUUGAGGCUCGAAAGCGUGGGGAGCAAACAGGAUUAGAUACCCUAGUAGUC